GUGCCAGCAGCCGCGGUAAUACGUAGGUGGCAAGCGUUGUCCGGAUUUAUUGGGCGUAAAGCGAGCGCAGGCGGUUUCUUAAGUCUGAUGUGAAAGCCUUCGGCUCAACCGAAGAAGUGCAUCGGAAACUGGGAAACUUGAGUGCAGAAGAGGACAGUGGAACUCCAUGUGUAGCGGUGAAAUGCGUAGAUAUAUGGAAGAACACCAGUGGCGAAGGCGGCUGUCUGGUCUGUAACUGACGCUGAGGCUCGAAAGCAUGGGUAGCAAACAGGAUUAGAUACCCUGGUAGUCCAUGCCGUAAACGAUGAGUGCUAGGUGUUGGAGGGUUUCCGCCCUUCAGUGCCGCAGCUAACGCAUUAAGCACUCCGCUGGGGAGUACGACCGCAAGGUUGAAACUCAAAGGAAUUGACGGGGGCCCGCACAAGCGGUGGAGCAUGUGGUUUAAUUCGAAGCAACGCGAAGAACCUUACCAGGUCUUGACAUCCUUUGACCACUCUAGAGAUAGAGCUUUCCCUUCGGGGACAAAGUGACAGGUGGUGCAUGGUUGUCGUCAGCUCGUGUCGUGAGAUGUUGGGUUAAGUCCCGCAACGAGCGCAACCCUUAUUACUAGUUGCCAGCAUUUAGUUGGGCACUCUAGUGAGACUGCCGGUGACAAACCGGAGGAAGGUGGGGACGACGUCAAAUCAUCAUGCCCCUUAUGACCUGGGCUACACACGUGCUACAAUGGAUGGUACAACGAGUCGCGAGACCGCGAGGUUUAGCUAAUCUCUUAAAACCAUUCUCAGUUCGGAUUGUAGGCUGCAACUCGCCUACAUGAAGCCGGAAUCGCUAGUAAUCGCGGAUCAGCAUGCCGCGGUGAAUACGUUCCCGGGCCUUGCACACACCGCCCGU
rnacentral:rRNA from 1 species